UACCAGAACAUUCCAUAGACAUACACACACACACACACACACACAUACACACACACACACUCUCUCUCUCUCUCAUAUGAACCUGCACAUGUGCGUGCGCACACACAUAAACAAUAAUCUGAAAAAAGAGUGACCCAUGAAGCCUAUGUAAAGGAUGGCCUAGCUCUAUUGCUAAGAAGACAAGACGGAAGGAAGGUGGGUGGGAGGACACACUUUGAGAGACUGGGGUUGAGUCUUGGCUUUGGCAGUUACUGGGUAAGUGAUGUUCAAUGUCUAUAAAAGGACAACAAAACUCUUCUCAUAGGAUUGUCACAAAUAAAAUACAGGUCUAUAACACAUUUAUCCUGAGUCUGGCAUAGAUUAAGUUCCCUAUGAAUGAUAGCUAAUAUUAUUAGAGUUUUAGAAAUAAUGCCAUUGCCUAUGUUUUUUUCUUUUCAUAAAAUCACCCUCUUUUAUUACCCAUCAUAUCAAGAAAGGAAAAGAAGAAAAGAGGGAGAAUAGGGCUGCAUAGGCAUAAUUUUUCCAACCUUCUUUAAUAAGGGUUCAACCUCCUCUCUAGCCCACCACCGACCUGAGGUGAUGGAAAAGAAAGGUUAUUAGGAUAUGGGGGAAGUGGACCUGUUUAAAAUAGUUCUUUUGGGCGAUUCCAAGCUUUGUUGUUCUCAGUCAAGUCCAGUAGCAAACACCAAACACGAAUAAGCAGCUGCAGUCCAGUCCACUUGGCAGACAGCACACAUGAAUCAGCAAUGGCAGUUCAAUCCAGAAGAAACCACAAGGUCCACCAACUGGCCCAAGUCCGAGGAAGCCGCAAGAAGACACAGGAACCUCCUGAGAAGUUCUUUGUGCUUGAAGCUUGAUGACUUGAAUUCAGCCUCUGGAACCCAGAUGGUAGAAAGAACUGACUCCAGCAAGUUUUCUUUGACAUUCUCUCUUACACACACACACACACACACACACACACACACACACAAAUAUAAAAAUAAUCUAAAAUGUGAAAGGGCAACUCGAGGGGCUGAGUGGCAUUUCUUUGGUCUUACAGUGUUUCCUUCUUAUGCAGAAUAUGGGGCAUUACAUAAUUUCCAGCCUUGAUCUUGGUCUCAUGUUGGAAUCAUGUCUUUCUUCCUUGAGGAGAGGAAUGGCUGUAGAGUUGUUCUGGGGCUCAGAUGCAUCUUGAAAUGGACUCAUUGUCUAAUUCCUCACCGGGAAAUGUCAUUCAUAGCACUGAAGAACCUGGCUGCAAGAUGGACUCUCUAAGUGGUUGAGUUUCUCCGUCUGUGGCCCAUGGUCUCUGGCAUUCUCAUGACUUGUAUCAAUAAAACCUCUGGAGUCCCAAUACUGAGAAUGCGGGCCUGCCAAGUCGUCUGGCCUGAAGGCCACCUACCACCUUUACCAGCCUGAAGAGCCAUUGGUACUCUUCCCCCCCUAUAGACUCUUUGUUAAGCUGCCACAAGCUAUUAAUUUGUUUGGAUUUAGAAAUAGAUUAUUUGAAACUGGGCUCUGUGCCAAAUGAUCUCCACUGAAAUCAUGAUUAACCUAAAGACCCCAUCCCCAGGGAUUAGAAUAUAUGAAUACUCUCCUUUAGCUGUGAGGUUUCAGAACAUUAGCAGGUUACUAAGGGUCAGGUCUCUAAUCAGUCAGUGCAGUUCCUAACCAGGGGCAACCAGCACUCCAGCUAGUGUCCUCUUUUCCAGAAAUAACUUAUUUCUAAUCUCUCCCUCCCAAAUGCUUCUCUGUGAUUCUCCAGGUUCACAUGGGGGACAGAAGGAACACAGUACCAUAGUCAAGGU
rnacentral:lncRNA from 1 species